CCUACGGGGGGCAGCAGUGGGGAAUAUUGGACAAUGGGCGAAAGCCUGAUCCAGCCAUGCCGCGUGUGUGAAGAAGGCCUUCGGGUUGUAAAGCACUUUCAGUGGGGAAGAAAGCCUUGGGGCUAAUACCCUCGAGGAAGGACAUCACCCACAGAAGAAGCACCGGCUAACUCCGUGCCAGCAGCCGCGGUAAUACGGAGGGUGCGAGCGUUAAUCGGAAUUACUGGGCGUAAAGCGCGCGUAGGCGGUCUGAUAAGCCGGUUGUGAAAGCCCCGGGCUCAACCUGGGAACGGCAUCCGGAACUGUCAGGCUAGAGUGCAGGAGAGGAAGGUAGAAUUCCCGGUGUAGCGGUGAAAUGCGUAGAGAUCGGGAGGAAUACCAGUGGCGAAGGCGGCCUUCUGGACUGACACUGACGCUGAGGUGCGAAAGCGUGGGUAGCAAACAGGAUUACAUACCCUAGUAGUC
rnacentral:rRNA from 1 species